rnacentral:snRNA from 1 species
GUGCUCGCUUCAGCAGCACAUAUACUAAAAUUAGAACGAUACAGAGAAGAUUAGCAUGGCUCCUGUGCAAGGAUGACAUGCAAAUUCAUGAAGCGUUCCAUAUUUUU